UGCUGUGGCGUUGUGGUUUGAGCGUUGGACUACAACUCUGGAGACCAGGGUUUGAUUCCCAGCAUGGCCA
rnacentral:tRNA from 1 species